UGAAAACGAUGUUAAGACUAUGAAUAGAAACAGGCCACUUAAAAUAAAGGCGCUUUUAGCAGUUAUUUCUGGAGUGAUUUGCUAUUGGGGCCGCAGCUGUUCCUAAAGCUCAGUUGCAUUUUUGCCCUUUUCCAGCAUGAUUAUUUAACUGUUCCUUUUGUUGUAUAGUUACCCUGGUGUCUUCAUAUCCCUACUAGAUUUUGGUUGAGAGUGCAGGGAACCAGAGACUUAUUGUUUACUUCUGAAUAUAUGACACUUAGCAGUGUCUAUGAUAUUUAAUUACUACAAAAUAAUAAAUAUUUGUUUGUUGAGUGAAUUCAUUCAAUACAUUUUCCAUUUUCCCCCCAGGAUAUUUGUUGCUAUAUCUUUUUUAAAAUGAAGAACUGAAAAAUUCAAAUAUUAAAUACUUAGAAGUGGGAUGUUUCAAAGUUUGACUACAAAAUGUGGAACUGGUUGAGCUAAAGGAAGUUAAUGAACAAGUACGUGUAUGGUCCAGUGUCAUUGCUUCCCUCUGGGACCAGACUGCCUAUACUCAUACCUAACUCUUUGCUGCUCCUGCUCCUGACAUACAGUCAGUCUGUUAGAGCAGCUGCUGCUUCUACUUUGCUGGUGAUUUCCAUUUGUUCAACAGCUCUACCUGUGAAUGUUUGGAAAAAGCCAAUUGGGAAAGCAGUAUAG
rnacentral:lncRNA from 1 species